UCUACUUAUACGCGGAUACUUGACAAGGUUUUAUUCACUGGAUUUGUCGUUAUAAUGCAUCUUCCGUUUACGAAGACGGUACAGACGAACGAAUUAGGUGACAAUUUUUCGAGGAAGAUGUAACGUGAAUUUUUGGAAAGGACGUCGCUUCAACUACCGAUACCUUCUACAGUUUCCGUUCGACUCGAAAAAUUAUGCUACUCGUGCUGCAUAUGUACAUUGUUCCUUACAAUUUAUCUACAGAAUAAAAUUGUUUGGCAUUUUCCCA